GACGAACGCUGGCGGCGUGCUUAACACAUGCAAGUCGAACGGAAAGGCCCUGCUUUUGUGGGGUGCUCGAGUGGCGAACGGGUGAGUAACACGUGAGUAACCUGCCCUUGACUUUGGGAUAACUUCAGGAAACUGGGGCUAAUACCGGAUAGGAGCUCCUGCUGCAUGGUGGGGGUUGGAAAGUUUCGGCGGUUGGGGAUGGACUCGCGGCUUAUCAGCUUGUUGGUGGGGUAGUGGCUUACCAAGGCUUUGACGGGUAGCCGGCCUGAGAGGGUGACCGGCCACAUUGGGACUGAGAUACGGCCCAGACUCAUACGGGAGGCAGCAGUGGGGAAUAUUGCACGAUGGGCGGAAGCCUGAUGCAGCAACGCCGCGUGCGGGAUGACGGCCUUCGGGUUGUAAACCGCUUUCGCCUGUGACGAAGCGUGAGUGACGGUAAUGGGUAAAGAAGCACCGGCUAACUACGUG
rnacentral:rRNA from 1 species